AUUGAACGCUGGCGGCAGGCUUAACACAUGCAAGUCGAGCGGUAACAGAGAGAAGCUUGCUUCUCUGCUGACGAGUGGCGGACGGGUGAGUAAUGCCUAGGAAUCUGCCUAGUAGUGGGGGAUAACUUGCCGAAAGGUAAGCUAAUACCGCAUACGUCCUACGGGAGAAAGGAGGGGACCUUCGGGCCUUUCGCUAUUAGAUGAGCCUAGGUCGGAUUAGUUAGUUGGUGAGGUAAUGGCUCACCAAGACCGCGAUCCGUAACUGGUCUGAGAGGGUGAUCAGUCACACUGGAACUGAGACACGGUCCAGACUCCUACGGGAGGCAGCAGUGGGGAAUAUUGGACAAUGGGGGGAACCCUGAUCCAGCCAUGCCGCGUGUGUGAAGAAGGUCUUAGGAUUGUAAAGCACUUUAAGUUGGGAGGAAGAGCAGUUAACUAAUAUUUGACUGUUUUGACGUUACCGACAGAAUAAGCACCGGCUAACUUCGUGCCAGCCGCCGCGGUAA
rnacentral:rRNA from 1 species